GAUGACACUGCUCUGAUCCUCAGCCUUGGAAACCUUAAGCAUGCACUGAAGUAUUUCUGCUGAAGACUACAGCACACAUAUUAGUAGUUCAUCUCUACACUCUACCAAGUUCUUGAUCCUUAUACCCCUUGUUUUUAAUAUUUAGGUGACAAUGCUAAGCAGAGUCUGACUUGAGGCUGAAGAAACACCUGUGUCCAGGCAGUGGUAUGUAGGAUUGCUGGGAGGGUGAAUGCAUUAGUCACUGUUCCGGUGAACUACAGGGAUGGCUGUUGUCAGCUCAAUGUGGUCUGGCAUGUUAUACCCUUGAGACUGCCCAGAGUAUUCCAGUGAGAUCACCAGUCCUAUCU